UACGAAGGGUGCAAACGUUGCUCGGAAUCAUUGGGCGUAAAGCGCACGUAGGCGGCCUCGCAAGUCUGAUGUGAAAUCCCUCGGCUCAACCGAGGACGUGCAUCGGAAACUGCGGGGCUUGAGUACUGAAGAGGAUCGCGGAAUUCCCGGUGUAGAGGUGAAAUUCGUAGAUAUCGGGAGGAACACCAGUGGCGAAGGCGGCGAUCUGGGCAUUACCUGACGCUGAGGAGCGAAAGUGUGGGGAGCGAACGGG
rnacentral:rRNA from 1 species